CCUACGGGUGGCAGCAGUGGGGAAUAUUGCACAAUGGGCGCAAGCCUGAUGCAGCCAUGCCGCGUGUGUGAAGAAGGCCUUCGGGUUGUAAAGCACUUUCAGCGGGGAGGAAGGCGUUAAGGUUAAUAACCUUGUCGAUUGACGUUACCCGCGGAAGAAGCACCGGCUAACUCCGUGCCAGCAGCCGCGGUAAUACGGAGGGUGCAAGCGUUAAUCGGAAUUACUGGGCGUAAAGCGCACGCAGGCGGUCUGUCAAGUCGGGUGUGAAAUCCCCGGGCUCAACCUGGGAACUGCAUUCGAAACUGGCAGGCUAGAGUCUUGUAGAGGGGGGUAGAAUUCCAGGUGUAGCGGUGAAAUGCGUAGAGAUCUGGAGGAAUACCGGUGGCGAAGGCGGCCCCCUGGACAAAGACUGACGCUCAGGUGCGAAAGCGUGGGGAGCAAACAGGAUUAGAUACCCGUGUAGUC
rnacentral:rRNA from 1 species